rnacentral:rRNA from 1 species
GACGAACGCUGGCGGCGUGCCUAAUACAUGCAAGUAGAACGCUGAAGGAGGAGCUUGCUUCUCUGGAUGAGUUGCGAACGGGUGAGUAACGCGUAGGUAACCUACCUGGUAGCGGGGGAUAACUAUUGGAAACGAUAGCUAAUACCGCAUAAGAGUAGAUGUCGCAUGACAUUUGCUUAAAAGGUGCAAUUGCAUCACUACCAGAUGGACCUGCGUUGUAUUAGCUAGUUGGUGAGGUAACGGCUCACCAAGGCAACGAUACAUAGCCGACCUGAGAGGGUGAUCGGCCACACUGGGACUGAGGCACGGCCCAGACUCCUACGGGAGGCAGCAGUAGGGAAUCUUCGGCAAUGGACGGAAGUCUGACCGAGCAACGCCGCGUGAGUGAAGAAGGUUUUCGGAUCGUAAAGCUCUGUUGUAAGAGAAGAACGAGUGUGAGAGUGGAAAGUUCACACUGUGACGGUAUCUUACCAGAAAGGGACGGCUAACUACGUG